rnacentral:misc_RNA from 1 species
GAAUUGGGGCAGCAUUGAUAUUGAUAGUUGAUAGCUUUUAUCGAUAUUUCAUAGCUUUUAUCGCUCAUAAAUUCUUGUAUAUGUCUUGAAUUGAGACAGCCUUGAUAGUUGUUUAUGUUUAUAUGUCUCAUUGAACUCAAAUGUGACAUGAAUUCUUCUAUAUGUUGCUUUUGUUGCUAGUAUUGUAAAUGCUUUCUAAAU